rnacentral:rRNA from 1 species
GAGCUGGAGUAUCUGGCCUGCAUUCAGCCGCUGCGCGUCGGGUUCCGGUUUGCCGUACUCCAGAUUGGGAAGGUGGCUGGGCUGCUGGCGUGCUGGUGGUGCAUUUGCAGGUGGAGUGCGCCGAGGCGCUCGGUUCAGCGGCAUAAGCUCGGCUUUGAGGCCAGUCGCGCAAGCGGUCUGGUACCCGGGUCGGGGGAGUGUUGUUUGGGCUGGGUGUUCGCUGGGGCACAGGUUUCGGGCCCGGGUGGGUGCCGAGCUGGCGGUCGGCGGCGGUCGCGUGCGACACGUGCCAGCAGUCAGUUCGGUCCUGCUCGAGCUCUCUCGUGUCCGGCCUCGGUGUAAAAGCCGGUCAUCUGUUCGACCCGUCUUGAAACACGGACCAAGGAGUUUAGCGUGUGCGCGAGUCAUUGGGUGUUGAAAACCCAGAGGCGUAAUGAAAGUGAAGGUCUGCCUUGUGCAGCUGAUGUGUGAUCCUGGGCGCUGCGGCGCCCGGGCGCAACAUAGUCCCGUCCCGACUGCAUGCAGUUGGGCGGAGACAGAGCGUACGCGCUGAGACCCGAAAGAUGGUGAACUAUUCCUGAGCAGGAUGAAGCCAGAGGAAACUCUGGUGGAAGUC